rnacentral:misc_RNA from 1 species
GAUGAAGAACGCAGCGAAAUGCGAUACUUGGUGUGAAUUGCAGAAUCCCGCGAAUCAUCGAGUUUUUGAACGCAAGUCGCGCCCGAAGCCAUUCGGCCGAGGGCACGUCUGCCUGGGUGUCACGCAUCGUUGCCCCCCCAAACUCCGGUUCGGGCGGGGCGGAAGUUGGCCUCCCGUGCGUGCCUGCGCGCGCGGUUAGCCCAAAAGCGAGUCCUCGGCGAUGAGCGCCACGACAAUCGGCGGUUUUUUUACCCUCGUUCCUCGUCGUGCGUGCCCCGUCGCCCGAACGCGCUCUUGCAACCCUUACGCGUCGCCUCGGUGGCGCUCCCAACGCGACCCCAGGUCAGGCGGGACUACCCGCUGAGUUUAAGCAUAUCAAUAAGCGGAGGA